CCUACGGGAGGCAGCAGUGGGGAAUUUUGGACAAUGGGGGAAACCCUGAUCCAGCCAUCCCGCGUGUGCGAUGAAGGCCUUCGGGUUGUAAAGCACUUUUGGCAGGAAAGAAACGUCAUGGGUUAAUACCCCGUGAAACUGACGGUACCUGCAGAAUAAGCACCGGCUAACUACGUGCCAGCAGCCGCGGUAAUACGUAGGGUGCAAGCGUUAAUCGGAAUUACUGGGCGUAAAGCGUGCGCAGGCGGUUCGGAAAGAAAGAUGUGAAAUCCCAGAGCUUAACUUUGGAACUGCAUUUUUAACUACCGGGCUAGAGUGUGUCAGAGGGAGGUGGAAUUCCGCGUGUAGCAGUGAAAUGCGUAGAUAUGCGGAGGAACACCGAUGGCGAAGGCAGCCUCCUGGGAUAACACUGACGCUCAUGCACGAAAGCGUGGGGAGCAAACAGGAUUAGAUACCCGGGUAGUC
rnacentral:rRNA from 1 species